rnacentral:lncRNA from 1 species
CCGGGGGCGGGGUGACUGGGUUCCCCAUGCCAAGCGCUGGGGCAGGGCGCCUGGCAGCGGGGCUCACUCCGAGCGUCUAAAGAUCACAAAACUGGCCCCGGGUCCUGGGGGUUUGCAAGAGGUACCAGUCGAAGGGGGAUGAUUUUGGCCCCGAAGCAGGCACGCUGCCUGGACCCGACUCUAUCUGCAGUGUUAUGUCCACACUAUAAAAUGCUGCUGGGUGGUGCGGAGUCUCCAGCCUGAAUCCGGCCCUAAACAAUUCGAAUGAGUUAACCUGGUGUCCCAGGUCUGCCCAGCGCCCCAGCCCAGCGGGGAAUUGUGCAACGCUCCCCUCCGUGAUGCGUUUGCCCCUCACUGCUCUCCUACUGCAGCUCUAGUGCUUCUCCACAUCUCCUUCCGGGUCUGAAUUGGGAGGCAGAUCCUGGGGCUCUUCUCCCCUUUCCCAGACCUGGGAUUGCAGGGGUGAAGAUGGAGGGCAUCGAGCCGACCAACCAGUUUAUUACAGAUUUGCAUGAGUGCUGCUACAUUGGUGAUUGGCAUUGGUGACUGUCGGUGACCAACAUCUGCAACUGGAACAUAUGGGCAAUGAAGAAAAGGCCUUUGAUUUCAUUCCAGGGAAAGCCAGAAGGCUCCCACUGUGGUUUGAACAGAGGCCAUUAGGCCUCAUUAUAAGACCAAACUACCUCUGCAGAGAUGGCAAUCUUAUUAUGUGCCAAUAUAAUGAUACACUACGCCUCCAACAGCUGCAGCCUGGCAGAUGGAACAACUGAAUCCAAGUUGUAAACUGAGCUAGUAAAAAACCUGGA